UCAGCGGACUGCUCGAGCUGC
rnacentral:sRNA from 1 species